UUUGCUAUUAUAUCACAGGAUUAUAUAAGUUCAUAAUACGGUUGAACGUUUCUACUAACUGCCUCAAAUAGUUUGCUAUAAUCUCUUUAUUAGUGUAA
rnacentral:ncRNA from 2 species